GUUUUGGUGACCGAGAGCAAAUAGGUGAAAGAUUUUUGAUCUUUUUACAGGAAUUAAUUUCCUCCAAAAUG
rnacentral:tRNA from 1 species